CGAAGCGUUGCCCAAGGGUAGGGCGCCCCGUUUGGGACGGGGAGGAUGCUGGUUCGAGUCCAGCCGCUUCGA
rnacentral:tRNA from 2 species